CAAGGUCUAAAUGAAACCGUGGCCAUAGAUAAUGUUUGUUUCUUGCCUUGUGACUGUCCUGACAGGGGGUUGUCCAGUCGGGGAGUAGAUGAAGCUUAGCAUUCACAGGCCUUGGGAGCCAUGGAUGGAGAGACUCCAGCUGUCUGCCAACCAGAACCUGGCAGAUCUUUGGCAAGGUGGUUGACAACUCUUACCCGGAGACAAUCAGGAAGUCUUGGGGAGAAGAGGCAUGAAGGUUGGAACCCAUGGAUGAUCAUGGCAGACGGGUGAUCAUAGGAAAAAUCAACUUGACCUCUGAAAGCCCUACUUGAGUGUGGUACGAAACCGGUAUCGAGGGAGAGCCUGAGACCGAUGAUGAUUUCCUGAGGUGACCUUGUCUUCCUCAGCUUACCUGAUUAAGCGCAGAGCUCGAGUGAGCCUUGAAUUCGAAUCUCUCCAUCGCCACCUGUUACCUAUGGCCCUGGGGCCACAUGUGUGCUGCUCUUUGACUGCCAUCUUUCGCAUUUGUAAAGUAUCGAAGCAGAAGAAUCUCAGUCACUAUGACCAGCAAUUCCACCUCCUGAUGUAUUACGUUAGAGAGAGCGGCACCCUGUACAUCACAGCUUAUGACACUGGAUAACUGGAAACAACCUGAACGUCUGUCAGCAGAGGAAUUCAUGAACACAGUUUAUUCCCACAAGGAAUACUAUAUAGCAGUUAAAAUUAAUGACGUAGCUCUCCCAGUUGUUCAUUCAUUGACUAUAUCCUCCGUUCUUCCACCACUGGCCUCCUUCUGUGGGGAUUUUUUUUUUUAUUUGUGGUUCCCUCUCUCUGGAACAUUCUUUUCUCCAGAUACCCUUAUGCAUCAUUCCUGUGCUUUACCUGGUUUUCUGCUCUCAUGUUACCUCCUUGGGAAGACCUUGUGUGAACACGCUAUGAAACAUCACACCUCCCCGACCUGGAUCAUCCUUUGAGCUCCUAUAUUUGCACCGGGGGCUUCUCUUUGCCCUACAAAAAUAGAUUCUGUUUCUGGGAGGGCAUCUGUCACUCAGGGGACAGUGGGUAAGUAUUUGUUGAAGCAAUACAUAGAUAUUUGUGUACAUUUCGAUGUUUACGGGCCCCUUCAGGGGAUUUAAGUGCUCCCUCACAUUCAUGUUUUCCUGUGGAAACAGACUGGGCGGAUCUUCCUUCCUACUGCGAACCAUCUCCCAGAACCCUGGAUGAGCAGAAGCAUGAGGGGCAAGAGGUAGCCUGUGACCCUCCAGCCUCCUUACUCCCUUGCAGCUUGCUUUCCUGGGACCUUCCAUGAGGUGUUCUGCACAAGGACAAGGGACCCAUCCAGGAAUAAGACUGUGCCCAGUGGGGGAGAGCUGGCUGUGUCCUCUGAGGACACGCAUGGAAGCAUGAGCAAGACAAAGAACCUGUGCUCAGAUCCCAGUGAACUCGUCCGCUUCUCCUUGAACUUUUUGCAAUAUCAUCUAUGCUGGAAAUGAUCAUUUAAAGCCACAGUCUAGCAUAAUGUUUACAUCCCAAGGGUUGGAACUGGAGUCAUUAAGUCUUUCAAACAACAAGGUAAUGUUCAACGACUGCUUUUCUAGGAGGGGGCGUCAUUUAGCACACUGCAGGGUGCUGAUGCAAGCUUGCAUCCUGGGAACCUGAAAGCCUUGGUACCUCUCCUUUGACCUAGGGUUCACCUUGUCUUCUCGGGAGUAGCGUGGGAGUGUGAUCUCCUCAUUUUCUUAAGUUACAUAGCUAAAUUUUCUUUAACGUGUGUCAGUGGGAAGAAUACAGGCUCUGGGAUAAGGUAGACCCAGGUAUGUGUUGUAGCCAUAUUACUUCCUAGCCGUGUGACCUUGAACAAGUUGUUUCCUUUCUCUUGAUCUUCUUUCCCUUUCUUCACCUAAGUGAUGGAGUUAUCAAACUUCUCUUACCUCUGGGUUUUGGGGCUUGAUACAUUGAAAUAGUAGAUGUAAGGCAUCGCGCCGGUCCAACCUGGACAGGCAAAAAGCGUGCUUUCUGGUAUAGCUUGCAUCCUACCCCUCUCUGUGGACAUAUUAAUUCUCCUUCGCACAACUCACAGGUGUUUACAUUGAAAUGAACAUUCUCUUCCACAAGCCCAGAGCUGUGAGGAUUUUGUGUUUCUCCAGUUGGUUGAGUGAGGUAGAGGGCAAAGAAAAGUAAGUGAUUUUAAUAACCGGUAGCACUCAUGUCUUCAUGGCAAUCUUCUCGUAACCAGAUAACUUCCUUCUAGCUGCAUGUGUGAGCUAAAUUUACCUAGUCAGUGAAGAAGUAAGAACGAAAUGAAAUGGGAAGAAAGCCUGCCUCUAGAUAUUGAAUAUCCUUCCCUGGGAGAGACUUAAACAAAAAUUAAAAAUGUAAAGUCUUCAUUUUGAGGGAUUUCACCACAGCUGAUAUUCAGAAUCAUACUGAUAGACCUCCAUUAAACAUCAACCAGUCUAGAAAGCCCUUAUCCAACAUGAUUGCCUAAUAACUAAAUGAAAGAAACCAGAUGAAGAUCACUUCAUUUUGAUGAAGAUACCCACGCUAAUUAAAGAUGAGUUUGAAGCAAAGAGGAGUGAGUCUUAACCCCUUUCCCCAUUUUUCAGAGCCUCUGUGAAUGCCACGAAUGAAGAGGUUUUAACAACAUAUUGGUUUUUUUUAAACAGUCUCGUACUUGGAUAUAGCUGUUCUUGGAAAUAGCCGUAGCUUGGUAAACAGGUUCGUUCACUUGUUUAAUGCCCCGAUCUGUACUCCUGGUUACUGCCUUCUCUUGAACUUCUUUCAGCUUGCUCUACUCCGUUGUCAUCCUUAUAUAUGCAGAAUGUCCUCCUCAUUCAGCCAAUUCAUGUUGAAAUUGAAACUUUUCAAGAUAGUUUUGUUUAAUCAUCAUUCCUGCACAUACCCUCUUCUAACCGUUAUGUAAUCUUGGGCUAGAACAGUGAUUCUCUAGCAAAAUAGAGAAUCACUCCUGCAUCAUUCCUGCACGUACCCUCUUC